GCGUCGGUAGUGGAACCGGUUAGAACACGCGCCCCUGGUUAGGGUGAAGUGCGGGUUCCAGUCCCGGCUGACGCA